UUAUGAGAGUGUCACUUUUCACACCGUUAAUUGUGAAGGGCGCCGCCUGUUGUUUGAUGAUAUCCCAUUAUUGUCCGCAUGCAGUAGGCUGAUGUAUAUGUAGCAGACAACUCGAUCGAUAACGUACAUGGUGAGAAGAGUACACAUUGGAUGGAGCUUCUGACAGACUCUCAGGAGAAAUGGGUGGAUGUUCAGAAGAUCAAGGCAUUCCCAGCCAUGGUAGCAAGCCCUACGCUAAGAACCGGGGCACAGGCACUCAUGCAGAUUGGUGGGUUGGGUAAGAUCAAGACCAACACA